UACAUGGCUGGCUUAGCUCUGAGAACUGAAUUCCAUAGGCUUUAGAAGAAAUGAAACGCCCCGUGGAUUCAGUUCUACAGCUAGGCAGCUAAUAAACUCCAGAGAGC
ensembl:miRNA